GCUGGGCAUGGUGGCGCAUGCCUGUAGUCCCAGCUACUCAGGAGGCUGAGGUGGGAAGACUGCUUGAGCCCAGGAGGAUUCAAGGCUGCAGUGAGCUAUGAUCACAUCACUGAGCUCCAGCCUGGGCAACAGAGCAAAACCCUAUCUCUA
ensembl:misc_RNA Metazoa_SRP Metazoan signal recognition particle RNA